GUUGGGCAUGGUGGCAUGUGCCUAUAGUCUCAGCUACUUGGGAAGCUGAGGCAAGAGGAUCACCUGAGUCCAGAAAUUUUGUGCUGUAGAUGCUGUAGUGUGCUACUGCAAUUGGGCAUUCACAUUCAGUUUCGCAUCAGGAUAAUGACCUCCCAAGAGUAGAGGACCACCAGAAUGCCUAAGGAGGGGUGACCUGACCCAGGUCAGAAAUAGAGUGGGUCAAAACUCUAUGCUGAACAAUAGUAGCAUUGCACCUGUGAAUACCCACUGCAAUCCAGCCUGGGCAACACAGCAAAAUCCCAUGCCUUAU
ensembl:misc_RNA Metazoa_SRP Metazoan signal recognition particle RNA